GAUGAACGCUGGCGGCGUGCCUAAUACAUGCAAGUCGAGCGAACGGACGAGAAGCUUGCUUCUCUGAUGUUAGCGGCGGACGGGUGAGUAACACGUGGAUAACCUACCUAUAAGACUGGGAUAACUUCGGGAAACCGGAGCUAAUACCGGAUAAUAUUUUGAACCGCAUGGUUCAAAAGUGAAAGACGGUCUUGCUGUCACUUAUAGCUGGAUCCGCGCUGCAUUAGCUAGUUGGUAAGGUAACGGCUUACCAAGGCAACGAUGCAUAGCCGACCUGAGAGGGUGAUCGGCCACACUGGAACUGAGACACGGUCCAGAGUCCUACGGGAGGCAGCAGUAGGGAAUCUUCCGCAAUGGGCGAAAGCCUGACGGAGCAACGCCGCGUGAGUGAUGAAGGUCUUCGGAUCGUAAAACUCUGUUAUUAGGGAAGAACAUAUGUGUAAGUAACUGUGCACAUCUUGACGGUACCUAAUCAGAAAGCCACGGCUAACUACGUG
rnacentral:rRNA from 1 species